GACUUGUUUCUAAAUCACAAUUCCCAAUUUAUUAAUUUCUAUGGAGAAAUAUGUGUUACCAUGUUAUCUAGACUAGCUGGUCAGGGUAUUUGCCUCCCCAGAGACAAGUCUACUUGGGAAAUCAAGUGUAUCUGAAGGUUGCUUGUUAAUUUAAUGGCAAAUCAGUUGAUUUUAAAGGGUGGUACAGUAUAGUCAAUCAUGAAUACUCUUCAUCACUUUAAAGAUAUACCUGAUAAACAGAUACUUAUAAUAGCAGGGCAAUAUUUUGUUGAACUUUGUAAAAAUAACAGUCCCAUCAUCAGCAAACUUACAAACUUAAGGGGUGAAUUCUGAAGAUAGCUGAUUUUUUUUUUUUAACUGUGUUCACCAAUUCUGAGAUAUCAUGUGGUUUGCAUCUUUCUAGUGCACCAAAUAUGGGAGAUAGUAUAAAUGUAUUACUUCUUUCACUUGCAAAUUGGCAUAGUGCAUAUAUACAAGGUCUUUCCCUUGAAGAAGUUUUUGGGCUACCCAGGCUCAAAAGGAGUUUUGUUCAUAGGAGAGAAGAAAGUGUGUUUAGGGUGUAGUACUUGAAAACAUGCUAGACUUUCUUUAUGAAUUCCACUUCCGUAAGCUGACUUGGAAUACUCAGAAAAGAAAAACAUCUACCACUUGCUGGUAGAAGUGGUAGAGUAACAGGGCCACAUGCACAACAGAGCAUGAGCUGCUGCAGAGUCAGGCAAUAUUUAAACUUUUAAAUUUGUUUUCCAAUUAAGAGAUUACAUGGCUUUGACAUUAUUCUCAGCCUAGGGGUAGAUAUGUUCUAUUUGUUAUGCUACUUGAUUGUUUAUUUUGCAGAUCCAUUGUUUAUUGUGUCAAGUGAGAAAGACCACACACAGGCAAAUAUCCAAGCCACCCUGAUUCGCAGCAGACUGGUAUGUCUAAUUCAUCAGCCAAGGCUACCUAAUGAACCUGAACCAUCUAGUUUGCCUAACUGCAUUGAUCAGAUUGACUAAUCACCAAAUCUUCACUGGAUUUUAGGUUCCACAGAAAUUACCUUGCCAAGAUUACUGGGGGGCAAAGCAUCUUAAUACUUGUGGCUCAUUGUGAGGAUUAAGUCACUAAUAAUGAAUAGAGAACCCAUAAGCUAAUUUAUUUCAAUGGGAUAAAUACAAUAAUAUAUGCCCAUGUUAAAAUAAUUCAAGUAGUACAAAAGCAUGUACAGUAUGAAGUAAAUUCUAGCUCUACCCCCCACCCCCUCCACAUAAACAGCUGUUGUCAUCAGUUUCUUGGGCAUCUAUUUAAAGAUAUUCUAUGCAUAUAGCAAUAACCCCUCUUCUUAUGCUGUAUACAUUGUUUUGUAUGUUUUUAAAAAGAGUUUACAAUGUAAUUAAAAUGCUUUAGAAAAGCUGUUGGUAUAAUUUUGUCCUUUGCCUCCCUUCCCUAACAUUAGAGAAAAGUUCCCAGGUUUAAAACCAUGUUCAGUAACCUGAUCCAUUAUCCAAGAUAUUCUCUAUAUUGGAGCAAGUCAGAUCCUGUCCCACCAUUUAUCAGUCGGGAAUGGAAGGGCCAUGAGGAGAAACACAGAGAAGCCCUCCGGCAGCUCGCCACAACUGACACUUCUUUUCAGAUGCCUAGAGAAGUUUAUGAAGAUCCUGAAGUUACUGGAAAGAAUCGCUAUAAAUACUUUGAAAGGCCUUUUCUUCCAUUUUUUCAGCAGAUGCCAUUCAAUGUUGUUUAUGCCGUAUCCAAAUGGAGUUUUGCUCCAUCACUCAGGCUGGAGUGCAGUGGCGCGAUCUUGGCUCACUGCAACCUCCACCUCUGGGGUUCAAGUGUCUCCUGCCUUAGCCUCCCAAGUAGCUGGGAUUGCAGGGCAGAACCAUACACUUUUCCUCCUACUUCUACUAAGCACCUAUCCAUCCCUUCAAAGUCUACUGUGGGCACUCAGACUGAUUAUCGGGAUGCUGACGUUCAAACAGAUCCAUACUCUCCAGAAUAUGUAGUAUGUCAGGACUCAAUCCCUGAGCUCUUGACCCUGGCUACGCUUACUUGGGGUCGGGGUCUGCCAGCAGGACAAGCUGAGGUGGAGAUGAUAGAAAGAGCCCGCGAGAAGCGUGCUUGGGAAGCCACUCUCCCUGCUCUGAGUGACACUUCCCAGUUUGAGAAGAGGAGGAAGAUGAUGAAUGAAAUGGAGAGGAAGGAGUGGGCCUUCAGAGAGCAGGAGAUUGAAAAACUGCAGGAGAUUCGCCUGGAAGUUCUAAAAGAGCUGUUGAGGAAGCGUGAAGAGAAUCAGAAUGAAGUGAAUAUGAAGCACUUGAAUGCCCGGUGGUCUAAACUGCAGGAGGCAAAAGAGGCAAAAAUGGCAAAAAUUCAGCGCACACAUGUAUCAACAAUCAGAAAACUUGUAGGAAAGAGAAAGAAUAUAGAAGGGAAGUUGGAGAGAAGAAAUAUCAUCAAGGAUUAUUCUGAUUAUGCAUCACAGGUCUAUGGACCUCUGUCUCGUCUUGGGUGUUUCCCAGACAACAACUCAGAGGACUUUGUAGUAAAAAACUACUAUCUCAACACCUAUGAAGGAUUAGUGGAACUUGAGUCAUGUCUCCCAGAUUUUGUGACACAACCCCGAAUCAGAGCUCCAAAACCUAAAGUCGUUACCACCAAAGCUGGUUUUCUGAAGAGGGCAGCAAGGUUGGAUUAUGAGUUGGCAGAGGUUCAUAAGGCACUAUUGGAUAAGAAGAAUAAAGUUCUUGAAGCAAAGAAACCCCCUCGCUUCCUUCAAAGAAACCCAAUACCUCAACCUCGGCUUCCAACUCCAACCUUGGAAAUGACGUCCAAUGAAGAAGAAGAAAUAGAAAUGGCUGUGAUCUACCUUCAAAAGUUACUCCGGGGCAGAGUCGUUCAGAACAUGAUGUUUGAAGGGAAAGAAAAGCGACUGGAGUUGAUCCAGGAGUUGCGCACCUGCCACGCGCUACAAGAAGAUGAAAAGCUGGUGAAAAAAGCCGAGAAGCAAGUGACCCUGGCCUUACAGCGGCAGAGGAACUUGCAUGAGCACAAGGUUUUCCUUUUUUGUUUUCUUGUUACUUUCUUGUUAAAUUUUCUCCCUUGAUUUUAUCAUCACACAGCAACAUUAUAAUAAAAAUUAAUGAAAUUAUGAAAAAGAAA
rnacentral:sRNA from 1 species